rnacentral:rRNA from 1 species
CCUACGGGAGGCAGCAGUGAGGAAUAUUGUUCAAUGGGAGAGAUCCUGAACCAGCCAAGCCGCGUGAGGGAAGACGGCCCUAUGUGUUGUAAACCUCUUUUGUCGGAGCACAAAACCCGGGACGAGUCCCGGACUGCGUGUAUCCGCAGACAAAGCAUCGGCUAACUCCGUGCCAGCAGCCGCGGUAAUACGGAGGAUGCGAGCGUUAUCCGGAUUUAUUGUGUUUAAAGGGUGCGUAGGCGGUCUGUUAAGUACGCGGUAAAAUUGCGGGGCUCAACCCCGUCGAGCCGUUGAAACUGGCAGACUUGAGUGGGCGAGAGGUACGCGGAAUGCGCGGUGUAGCGGGGAAAUGCAUAGAUAUCGCGCAGAACUCCGAUUGCGAAGGCAGCGUACCGGCGCCAGACUGACGCUGAGGCACGAAAGCGUGGGGAUCGAACAGGAUUAGAUACCCCUGUAGUC